rnacentral:rRNA from 1 species
AUUGAACGCUGGCGGCAGGCUUAACACAUGCAAGUCGAGCGGAGCGAGGGUGCUUGCACCUUAGCUUAGCGGCGGACGGGUGAGUAAUGCUUAGGAAUCUGCCUAUUAGUGGGGGACAACAUUCCGAAAGGAAUGCUAAUACCGCAUACGCCCUACGGGGGAAAGCAGGGGAUCUUCGGACCUGGCGCUAAUAGAUGAGCAUAAGUCGGAUUAGCUAGUUGGUGGGGUAAAGGCCUACCAAGGCGACGAUCUGUAGCGGGUCUGAGAGGAUGAUCCGCCACACUGGGACUGAGACACGGCCCAGACUCCUACGGGAGGCAGCAGUGGGGAAUAUUGGACAAUGGGCGGAAGCCUGAUCCAGCCAUGCCGCGUGUGUGAAGAAGGCCUUUUGGUUGUAAAGCACUUUAAGCGAGGAGGAGGCUACUUAGAUUAAUACUCUGGGAUAGUGGACGUUACUCGCAGAAUAAGCACCGGCUAACUCNGUGCCAGCCGCCGCAGUAAAAC